rnacentral:misc_RNA from 1 species
AGUUUGAUCAUGAAAAUCCAGAUUGAACAUAUGGCGGGAUGCUACACAUGCAAGUCAGACGGCAGCACGGACUUCGGUCUGGUGGCGAGUGGCGAACGGGUGAGUAAUGUAUCGGAACGUGCCUAGUAGCGGGGAUAACUACGCGGCGUAGCUAAUACCGCAUACGCCAGAAGGAAAGCGGGGGACCUUCCGGGCCUCGCACUGUGGACAAGCCGAUAUCGGAUU